ACGAUAACUAUUAGUGAAACAGUUUUGUUACGUUUUGUAACAAGAUAUUAAUAAUUUAGUUCUUACUAUAUAAAAAUUACUAGUUUUUCCGAUCGUAACGGAUGUGCGGAAAAAGAGAGAUUUUCAAGAAGCCGUCAAAUUGUGUCGCAGUUAACAAUAAAGACAUUGAGUUACGCCGUUUGCUUCCUCGGAAAGUGUGUUGCAAUAGACAAAUUUCUUUUGUUUUUCUUCAAUUGCAAUUGUAAAUCGUCGCUGGGGAUCGUUGCCUGGGAUCUUUUACAGAGCUUAUACAAGCCGAGGAGAGGCUCAAACUGCUUGGCAUACGCAUAGCUUACGCAUCCAAUUGGAAUGGAAUGAUGCGGCACAAAGACAGGCAAAAACAAAACACAUGUAACAAUAUUACGUUGGGUCUUGUUGUUCGAGGUAAUAUUUCGUAUCUUUUGGAUGGCUGACAAAAAGGUGAUUUAAAUAAUUUUAUAUAAGAAACAUCACACGUGCGUCUAUUACCCAAAUCUCUAUUUAAAUGCCCAAACCAUAAACACAUUUAUAAUUCGGAUAUUGCAUAAUUUAUGCAACUAGAAAAAAAGAGUUCGUAGCGAAAACUAAAUUAAUAAAUUAAUGCCCCGAGGGCUUCACAAAUGGUGUCAAACAUCAAUAGAGGCACAACAACUGGAAGAGUGGAAACUGGUGCACGAAUUAACUGAUGGGGUACUAUAUAAAUUGCACGGAGUAUAUUUACGAAGAGCAUGGAUCAUAAGCAAACUGUAAUCGACUGGCAGAUCAGCUAGAAGAGUUGUAUCCUUUAGUAAUUAUUACUCCUACUUGAAUACAACGAGGAUCCUGGUUCGAUUUAAAAUAACGCUUUAUAUUAAAGAAGCAGCCUUUAUUAAUUGUAUAAAAUCAUAUCCCUAUUUGCAAAAAUCAUCCUCGUGGAACGCUAUUCUAUAAAAUGUACAGCAUUACAACUGCAACUACAACCAUAAGAGUAUUUUUCAAUAUUUUUUAAAUCCUACAACUGCACAAUAAAAUUCCUAGAAUCAAUUCGCAAAUUCUCUGUUCCCUUAGGAUAAAGUAGCUAAUCAAGGAGAUUCCAAAUUUAUUGGCAUGCCACAUUUUAUCCCAUUUUGUUCCGACUAAACUUUAAAUCUAUUUUGUUUUAGGAAAUUCUUGCUUGAAUCAAUCUGUACAACUUUGUCAUUCCUGAGUUACAACUAAAUGAGACGAUCGAUUCAUUUGAUUUGGCCGUAUUGUUGAGUAUCACUGUCGAUCAUUGGAGGUGGUUCCGAGUUUCAGUAUUAUUUUUAUAAUUUUAAGAUUAUUGCUAAGAAGAAUCCUCAGACACAUGUAUUGAUUUUAAGUUAGCGAUCUGAGUUAGUUAUUUACUUCGGCUUUUUACACCCUGUCUUCUGUCAUAUCAUUCAUAGCUUAACAAUUCAUAUGACCUCUUUCACAAGUUCUAAUUAAUUCUUACACACUCUUUGGUAUACACAUUACUUCCAUAUCAGUUGAGAACUGAGUGCACUACGAUUGCCAGGCCUCAUUAUCCUUUACGGUAUUUCGCAGCCAAAUGGCAACAUUCAAUCGCUGCACACGAAUUUCGUGGCGCCCUCUCCUGCGCCCCAGCCAAAACGGCAGCCCAACCAAGUGUAAAAACACGCACUAUGCCAAUUAGCAGCAACAGGCUACACAUGCGGCAAGGGCCCUGAGACCAAGCCCCUCACGUAUAGCUAGAACAAUGGGAUAGCCUGUAAUACAUACUCUGAGGGAAAGGGGAGCAGUAGGCGGGCCGAUGGGCACUCAACAAGUGAGGCCCACUUGAAGUUUAUGUAUACAAUAAUAUUGCCUGCCCCUUAACGCUUAGAAAUGUUGCUUCCUGUAGCAGCCUUCACCCCGCCACACACAUCCUUUUAGCGGCCAUUUCCGACUACGACCACGUCCGGUCAAAAGGGAAAAUAUACUGUGAGCUCUGCGCUCCACACAAAAGACUCAUUAAACGUGCACAGUACGUGAGAUAUUGGCGAUGUGUGUGUGGGUGGUUUAAUAAAAGAUGGCUAGGGUUUAUUUUUAGCUAGUGUCUUGACUUCUUUACGACUGCCAACUCGUGUGGGCGCUUACUUAUUUGAGCUACUGUGCGCACAACCAAAUGGGUUACGUGUCGAAUAAUGUAAAACUCUUCACAGCGAAAGGGGCGAGCCAUUACUUUUUGUUUAUUUUAUAUUUGAGUGAGAAAUAUGGGUAGAAUGAAAGUAGAUCAGGAGAAAGAGUCCUUAUAGACCUUAUCUAGUCGAUUUUGAAUUUACAAUUAAAAAGUCAAAUGUCCUUUAAACAGUCUGUAUCCUUGAGUAUUCUGCCAAAUCCCUACUUAAAAACAUGACAAACCUAUGGUCAUUUCUCUCAAAAGGACCCUAACCACUAAAUCGUCCUUAGGACGAUCUUAACAUCUUAAAAAAUAGUCCACAUCUUCCCGAUUCAGACUGUGGAAAGGACGAAAGUCCAAGAGACAUUUGUCUCUAAAAGGUCAAAACUCGGCCAUAUCCUUGUGGAGCCGGAAAAAUCCUGUACAUUAGUCCUUCAGAGAGAAAAGUUUUAAGGAUUAAGUUGCUAACACAAAAUAGUCCAUGAUGCUUAGAUAACCCCCUACAGAUCGAUGCAGCGGGUCUAUACGAGCCUAACGCACCAAGUCCUUUGAAAAUCUGCAAGGGCAAUGCCGAAGUGACAUUGUAAGGACAGGGAUCGAUUCUAAUUGCUUCCAAGGAUAUUUUUUCAGUAUCGGACGCUAUAUAUAUACUCCAGAUGUAUUUAUUUAAGAUUAAAACAGA